GGGCAUGUGGUGUAGUUGGUUAUCACGCUCGCUUAGCAUCACCUCGAAGGUGCAGUGUGCGAGAGGGGUCCGGUUCAAUCCCGGACAUGUCCA